AAAGGAAGAAAAGGGAAGAAAAGAAGAAGAACAAAAACCUAGCUAAGAAAUUCAAGAGAAAUUCAUAAAAUUUCAAAGAAUCAAGUGACAAAAGGUAAGAUUUUUCAAUUUUAGCUUGUGAUCUACCUUUCCUAUGCAUUCUUUUUCAUUUUCCGUGGUUGAGAAUCAAGUUUGCAUGAGGAUACCUUUGCUGGCCGGACAUGGGGGGAGGAGUUUUGAACUUGGAUUUGGUUAGAUUUCAAUAUAUUCUAGUGUUUUUAGUUAGUGAUGUGUAGCAUGAAAAGCAAAAAAGAAAAAUUCAUUUUCUUCCAUCACCCUCCAUUGGCCGAAUCUUCCUUAUGGUGUGUUGAUGGUGGACUUGAUUUUAUUUCAAGUGAUUUGGUUAGGAAUUAAUGAUUUAUGGUGUAAAAAUCAAGUGAGAAAAAUCAUAGUGUUCAUGCACCCACCAUGGCCGAAAUUCCCAAGAAAAAAUGUGAAGAUGAUCUUACUAAAUUUUAUGUUACUUGACUUGAAUUUGAUGAUUUGGAGUAUUGGGAGAGAAAUGGAGUUAUUUGGAGUUAAAUUGGAUGUAUUGGCUAAUUAAUCGGGUGAUAGAUCGAAUUAGUCCAAUAACAUUUUAUUUAGGUACAUAAUUGAAUUUAUAUUGAACAACGUGUCUAGAUAGUUACUCGAGUAUUUCACAUCCCAUUUCAUGCAUUAGUAUAGAGCCUGAAUUGGUUUUACAACGGUUUAGCACAAAUGUAGCAAAUUGCUUAUUGUGCAUAAUGUCUAGGUGGUGAGCAUUCUCGCAAGAGUAAAGAGGUAGUUUUCGAGGAUCAAGAAUCAGAGUAUCCCGAAUUCGAUUCCCAUUACAGUGAAUAACCUUAUUAUCAUCUUAAUUAUCUAAAGUAUGUUUUUUAUCUGAUAUUGUAAUUUUAUGGAAAAUGUGUUUAAAUGAAAUGAUUUUAUAAAUUGUUUUGAAAUUUAAUGAUGACUUGAAAAUGGAGUAAUUGGAGACUACUUGCUAUAUUGUAAAUUAUGUUUUCAAUUGAAUGGCUUAUGAUAAUGUGGGCAUGAAUGGCUAGAUGGGUAUUUGUGUUGAAAAUGUAUAAACUAUUGUUUGCCUUGAUAGGCUAGAUAAUGAUAAAAUUGCCAUGUCAUGCUGUUGAAUUUUUAUUGAAUUGGUGGGUUAUAGAUUGGUCACUACAGUGGCGAGUUCUGUGGACCAGCUUAUUAGAGGGGCACGAAAUUCGGGUAUAUUCUUACCUCGAUCGGAGAGGCACAUAGGGUAACUCCUGAGGUAAAACUUUAGAGUUCACUUCACGCUGAACCACCACGUGAGGGUGAACUCUGCCAACGCCAAGGAACGGCUAUGUUUUCAAAAUAAAAAACAUGAUUUAUGCGUACAUGACUUUUUAACAGCCUUGGAAGACUUGGUUGGUAUAGCCCCAAGCCAAGGUAUCCCUGACAACUGAGUAUGAGAAUGAUUUUGGCACGAGCCAAGCUUUUCAGGAAAUCAUAAGCCUCGUUGUUUAUUUAGUUGAAAUGAAUCUAUUUUAUCUUAUUAAAAUGAGUUCGAAAUGCUGUGAAUCAGUUUUAUGCUAAUCUAUUUUAUCUGUGUCCAUUUACUCUGCUUUAGAUAUUUUAGAUGGUAUUUUUUUACUCAUUGGGAUUAUAUAAUCUCACCACCCUCCUUUCCACCCAUUUCAGGCUCAGGAUAGUCAGUAGAUAGCUCAUUUCGUUGAGGGUUACAGUUGGACUUGCAUCCUCAAAAACUGUAGGUUCACAGCCUUCAUUACUUUUAGUCAUUCGGGGGCCCACAUGUCAUUGUUAAAUGUUUUGAAUACCUGGCUGCGUGUGCUACUGUAUGUAGGAAUUUAUUUUUCUUUUAUGCUGUAAAAAUUAUUUACGUAGCGUUCUACAAAAAUUGUUUUAUGAAAAAUUAGAAUAUUUUAUUCAUUAUUUUUAUUUUAUUCCAUUAGCUAUAAUUUCACUUUAAAUGAAUGUUUUAGAUAUCUAAACUUAUUUUCGGUUAUGAAAUGUGUAAAUUUCUCUCAUAUACUACGUUUUAGCUAGUUUCAGAAUUUUUUAGAAAAAUGACCAAAAUACCCCUGUGUAGUUGAAAUUUCUCUUUGACUGUUUUUUAAUUGAAAUUGGUUCAUAUCACUUUGAAACAUGAUUUUAGUAAUUAAUACUCACAGGGGAAGCGAGAAAACUGAUUUUAAGCCUUACGAGGUUUCGAUUGGCAUUCCGAGUAAUGAAUGUCUAUCGAGACAUCGCGGCGGUUGUCAUGAGCUCGAUGGGAGUUCUGGGUCGUGACAAUUAUAUUGGUAUCAAAGCACAGAGCUUUUGGUUUUAAAGUUAAUUUAAAAAUUUACAGUGUCAAUGUGGCCCUAAGUUAAGUUAAGUUAGGUUGAGUCAAAUGCAUGCAUUUGCAUAUAUAAACCUACCUGUUCUUGUGAUGCGUACAAAAUUAAGAAAUUACUGCUUGAUUGCGUAUAGGUUUUGAGGUGCGCUGGUUGCACACACCAUGUCUAGGAGAGACGAUAGUCCCGAUGCCUCUCAUAGUAUUAGCGAGGGAUCACUAGAUUCUACUGAUAAGAGCCAAUGGGAACCUGAACCAAGUAGUCUAGAAAGUGCCUCGCCUAGGAUUUCUAUUAAGUGGAUUCCACCGGAUUUGGAGAUGAGGGUUCGUGAAAAAGAAAGCUUCGACCUUUGUAAGACCAUUGAAAGUGCUAAUAGUAAUGACAUUAAUAUAAGCAUGAGAAAUUCCCUUUUGAAAAAGUCUAAGGAAUACGCUGAAGAAAGGGGGAAAAUAAUAAUAGCCAAAGGGGAUUAUCAUCCUAGGAAGGUAUCUGUACCCGUUGUUCGACACUUUCCUCCAGGCUGUGGGAGUAAUGUAAGGGAACAAUAAGAAAAGAAUAAGGAGAAAGUAAUUGUUGUAAAUUGUCAUGACCUGGUACUCUCCUCGAGCUUGUGACAACCGUCGCGAUGUUCCGAUAGACAUUCAUUACCCAGAAUGCCAACCAAAACCCCGCAAUGCUUUAAUAUCAGUUUUCGUACCUCCCCUGUGAGUAACAGUUGUUAAGUAUCAUGUUUUGAGAGAUUAUAAACUAUUUCCAAAUCAAAACAAUAAAAAAAUAAUUUUUCACUCACAGAGGCAUUUUGGUCAUUUUUUCUCAAAAAUUUUGAAACCAGCUAAAAAUGUAGUAUGCGAGUAUAAAACACAUAAUUCAUAAUAAAAAAUAAGCUUAAACAUCUAAAACCUUCAUUUAAAAUGAAAUUAUGACUAUUUGAAUAUAAUAAAAAAUAUUCAAUAAAAUAUUAUAUCUUCUUAUAAAACAAUAUUUAUAGAGUUACCGGUAAAUAAUUUUUGUAGUGUAAAAGUUAAAUAAAUUCAUACAUAUUGUAAUACAGAUAACCAAAGUAUGAAAUUUGAUUUACAGUGACACGUGGGCCCACGACGACCAAAAGUAAUGAAGGCUAUGAACCUACAGUUUUUUAGGAUGCAAGUCCAACUGUAGCCCUCAACGAAAUGAGCUAUUUACCGACUAUCCUGAGCUUGAAAGGGUGGAAAGGAGAGUAGUGAGAUUAUAUAAUCUUAGUGAGUAAACAAAUAGCAUCUAAAAUAUCUAAAGCUGAGUAAAUGGAGACAAAUAAAAUAGUUUAACAUACUGUAAUUCAUCACCUUUCAACUCAUUUCAACCAAAUAAAAUCCAUUCAUAUAAAUCGAGUAAUCAACAAGGCUUAUGAAUUUCUUAAAACUUUGGCUCGUUCCAAAAUCAUUUUCAUACUCAGUUAUCAAAGAUACCUUGACCAAGGGCUAUCCCAACGAGUUUGCCAAGGAUGUUAAAAAGUCAUGUACGCAUAAAUCAUGUUUUUAUUUUGAAAACAUAACCGUUCCUUGGCAUUGGCUGAGUUCACCCUCAUGUGGUGGUUUAGCGUGAAGUGAACUCUAAAGUGUUAACCUCAGGAGUUAUCCAUACGCACCUCUCAUACUGAGGUAAAAAUAUAAUAGGGUUAUCGUGCCCCUUCUAAUAGGCUGGUCCACGGAACCCGUCCACUACAACGACUAAUCAAUAAUCCACCAAUUCAAUAAAAUUCAACAGCAUGACAUGGCAAUUUUAUCAUUAUCCAGCCUAUCAAGGCAAACAACAAUUUAUACAUUUUAAACACAAAUACCAAUUCAGCCAUUCAUGCCAAUAUUGCCAUAAGCCAAUCAAUUAGAACCAUAAAUUCACAAUACAUCAAAUGGUCUCUAAUUACUUUAUUUUCAAAGCCAUCAUUCAAUUUCAAGACAAUUUAUAAAAUCAUUUCAUUUAAACACAUUUUGUUUAUAAAACAUAAAGAUUUACUAUUUAAACUCAUUUUCCAUAAAAUCACAAAAUUGGAUAAAAACCACUUCAGAUAAUUAAGACGAUAGUAUGGUUGCUCACUAUUUCGGGAGUCGAAUUUCGAGUACUCCGAUUCUUGAUCCUCGGGUACUAUUUCUUUACUUUUGUCAGAAUGCUCACCACCUAGACAUGAUGCACAAUAAGCCAUUUACUAAAUUUGUGCUAAAUUGUUAUAAAAUCAAUUCAGGCUCUAUACUAAUGCAUGAAAUGGGAUGUGAAAUAGUUGGGCAACUAUCUAAAUACGGUGUUCAAUAUAAAUUCAAUUAUGCACCUAAAUAAAAUGGUAUUGGCUUAAUUCAAUCUAUCACCUGAUUAAUUGGCCAAUAUGUCCAAUUUAACUCCUUUUAAUUUCAUUUUUCUCCCAAUACUCCAAAUCAUCAAACACAAAUUAAAUAACUUGAAAUAUGGCAAAAUCAUCCUCACAUUUUCUCUUGGAAAAUUCGACCAUGGUGGGUGCAUCAACAUUAUAAUUUUUCAAGCUUGAUUCUCACACCAUAAAUUACUAAUUCCUAAUCAAAUCACUUGAAAUAAAAUCAAAAUCAUCAUCAAUACUCUACAAGGAAGAUUCGCCCAAUGGAGGUUCUUGAGGGGUAUACGAUUUUUCAUGCUAAACAUUAUCAUUUUCGGUUUUCACCACCACAAUUCAUUAAAUUUUAACUAAAUAACAUAAGACAUCACAAGAUUCAUCUUCAAUAUUGUCUUUAUGAAAUUCGGCCAAUGAAGAAUCCAUGAAGAAUAUGUGAUUUUUCUUACUUGUUUUCCUUCCAAACAUGAUAAAUCAACUAUAAUCACUAAAAUAUCUCAAAAUCUAACCAAAUAAAUCAUCAAAUCUUCUCUCUUUAAAUUCGGUCAGCCAUGAAUCCUUCAUGAUAUCUUGUGAUUCGACCAUGGAAAAUGCAAAAGAAUGCAUGGGAAAGGUAGAUUACAAGUCAAAAUAAAGAAAUUUUACCUUUGAUUGCUUGAUUACUUGAAAUCCACCAAUUUUUCUCUUCAAUUUUCACCUUAGGGCUCUUGUUCUUUCUUUUCUUCCUUUGUUCUUACUUUGGCCGGCCAUAUGAAGAGAAAUGGGCUGAUUUUGUGCUGAUUUUUAAGCAAAAUAAUAAAUGGAUGAGAAUUUGACACAUGUCACCAUUCUAUUGUCCAUGUGUCAUACUUACCCAUUAAGCAAUCUCUCUCCACCACUUAAAUUUUCGCAAUUAUCCAUGAUAAUAUUGGGUAAAAUUCAUGUGCUGGACAAUUGUUGGGUGGUGUAAAAUUACAAUUUUGCCCCUAGAGUGGCAAAAUGACUAUUUUGCCCCUAAAGUGGCAAAAUGACUAUUUUGCCUUUAUGCUUGAAAACAUGCCAGAAUUAAAAUUUUCCACUUCUCAAACUCUAAUUAUGUUCUAAAUAGUCAAUCUUGAUUAAAAACUUCUUCCAACAUUUCAAUUUUAACCUCGGGUGGCAAAAUGACCAUUUUGCCCCUAAGUCAUGAAAAUUCUAAUUUGACUCCAAAUCGGUACUCGAACUCUGAAUCACCAUUUUAAGUCAUUAUGGGGUUUUAAAAUUCUCAAUUUCAUCUUAAAAUCUCUAUUUGGACUAGUUCGAGGCUUAAUUCAACUUAAUUGUACCAUUUGGUACAAUACCGUCCUUUAACGAUUUCCAAGGUACCCAAGUAAGCAAACAUGCAUUCUUAUGUUAGAAUGGCAUAAUAAAUAUAUUGUAGAGCUGGGCUUGACAUAAAUUAUCCCCUUAAGAAGGUGACUGUUGUACGACAUUUUUCUCUCGGUUGUGGAAGAAAUGCUGCACUUGUGAGUUAUGAAGAAUGUAGGAGAAUACAACAAGCUUGGAUUGAGGAACAAAGGAGUAAAUCUUAAGAGGAAGAGGAGGAUCCGAAAGAGGAUCCUGAAGAUACUUAAUACCUUCGUUGAAGUUUGUAUCAUCAUAAAUCUAGGCAAGUGUCGUUUAAGGGAAAAUGUAAUAGUUAUCUGUACAAAGAAGUUAAUAGUUUGGCUUUUAAAGUGUAUGACUAAAAUGUAUUAUAAAGUAGCUGUUUAAGUGAUUGGAUGUAUAUGAGAAUCUUUUGGUAGGACAUAAGUGGAUUAACAUUAUGACUAUUAAGGAAAGAUAUUUAUCUUAGUGGCAUGGUUGAUCAUCUUAGAUAAUUAUUGAAGACUGAUGUGGAAAGUCAUUAAUGAUUUAAGCAAUCACCCUAAUUAACAAUGAAUAUAUUUUGCAGUACUAAGAAAUGGAUACUGAUUAACGUGAUAAACUUUUGGGGUGAUAACCCUAGAUUUUGAUGAAGUAUAAAGGACCAUUUAAAUUGAUGAUGUUUGUUGAAAAUUAUUACUUAUCGUAGUAUGUGAGUUUUUGAUAUGACUCCGAAUGCAAGGCUAAAUAAAUAAAAUUCUGGUUUAUAGGACAAAAUGUAUCAGAGAAAAUGAUUCCCUAGUAAACACACUAAACUCGAGGACUAUGUUAUAAUAAGCGGGUUCAAUGUGUUGUAAUUGCAUAGGAUUUUGGGAGACAGUGUGGUAAGACUAACAAUCAAUCAUGGAGAUGUGAAAUUGGGAAUCUUAAUUGUAGUUACAAUUUGAAAGGAUAUGGAAGAAAUCAAUGAGGCUCUAGAUGACAUUUUGAGCGAUUAAUGUGAUAAAGUCAAAGAUUGUAAGCUUGAGGGUGGAGGAAGUAUAAAAUGAUGCCAUAACAUUAUAGGAAGAUAAUCUAAUACAAAUAUGGUCCAUUAUAGAUAAAUGAAGGAACUUGAAAAAGAUAAUUUUUUAUUAAUAAAGAUUGUGAGUAUAAGUGUAGUGAAAGAUGAACUAUUUUCAUGGUCUUUGUACUGGAAGUUAAUAAACUAUUGGAGUUAUAAGACAAAGAAGAUGAUCAUAAAUGGAUAAUGAAAAUAGUGGGAUACCAUAAAUAAUAAGUAAUUAUGUGUAUGAUGAUGUAUAUAUUGUGAAUUCAGUACACCAUAUGGGAAAGAUGUCCUAAGGUGGGACUUGAAAUAUGUGGAUUUUUGGAUAUGCUCUAGAAGGGAACUUUUGCAUCCUAAAUUCGAGAUAUCUUGAUCUUAUAACUGCAAGGAUGAGAUGUAAUAAUUAAGUAAAUUAUCCAUUUUAUAAAUGUAAUUGGUUAAGAACCCUUUAUGGCUAGAAAUAACGAGCAAAUUGGGAAUGGCAUGAAGAUUAGAGUCACGAGUUGGAAAAUGGUCAUUGGUUUUGAUGUCGAGUUUCGUUAUUGGGAGCCUUAAGUGCAUUGUGGGAGUGUUAAGAUGAAUAAUAUAUUGACUAAAGUCAAAUCUUAAGAAAUAAAGUAAACCUUGUAAGGUUAAAGAGGAAGUGAGGGAAAGGUUAGAUGAAUGUAUGAGAUAUUGAUAAGAGAUGUCAAUACCAAGUGAUGAGAGUGUGAAUGAAGAUUUAAAGAAUGAUAUAGCAAAUGAGAUUAUAUAGAAUAUUGUUACGAGAAUUUACAAAUCUUGUCUUGACUUUUUUGAAAGGAAAGGAUUAGUGACAACACAAGAAAACCACAUGGUAUGCUAGAAACCCUUGGAGAUAAGUUGAAGCAUGAGUAGUUAAGCAUGCAUUUAAAUAUUUUGGUGAGCAAGUGCAUGCCUUUAUGGAAAAAAUAUACUUGGAGUAUGAAAGAGCAAAUAAGUGAUUAAGUGUUUCAAGAAUGUUUAAACACCUUUGAGAAAGAAUUAUAAAUUAUACGAGUUAAGUGAACACAUGCUGUGAGACAUAAGUUUAAGAUAGGUAUCCCCAAGGAAAUACUUAAGAUAAGUUCUACAAUGGAUCUCGUGAAAGCAAACAUUAAGUUAUAUGAUCAUAAAAAAGAAGUCAUAAGCUGAGAGUGAUACUUGUAUUGACAUUGAAAAGUACUUGAGGAGGACAUAGUUUCAAGUUUUACAAUUUCAAGUACAAUUUGUAAAUUGGCUAAGGGAGAAUGAUGUUAUGUUCAUAUGAAAGAGUGGAACAAAAGAUGAUUGAAGUUAACCUUGAUAAUGAAGUCAGAUAAUGAAACUUUCCUAAUAUAUUAUGGAAAUUAGAAUUUGAAAUGCUUGAGGCAUACAUGAUUCAAAUGAGUCUGAGUUUUAAGUGACAAAUCAAUAUCGGAAUGAAAUAAGGAUACAAGGUAAUGUAGAGGCAUGAAGGAUAAUCGAGGAAAAAGGAUGACUCUUAGGAAUUGUGGUAUUGCAUAAGAUGCAAUGAUCAAGUUAAGAUAAAUCUUUGAGGCAUCAAUGGGAUUAUAAAAGAUACAUGCAUAAUAGAUUAUAAUUCAACAAAGAUGACAUUGUGAUGCAAUGAUAUAUAGAAUAAGGAAACUUAAGCAUAUAAUUGGAAAUGAUAAGAAGAGAGUAUAAGUUUGUAAAUGAUAUGGAACUAUGCACAGGCAUGAUGAGAAUUUGUAUGAAUUAUGAAGAUUAUUCUAUUGAAUCUUGGUUAUGGAUGGGAAUGAACAAAGAGAAAUUAGUCAGAAGGCAUUUGAAAACAGAGACCCGUAUACAUAAUAAGGAAUAUGGACAUUUGAAUGUGCGUGUAUACGUAUGUGUGGAGUUAGUGAUGUACCCAACUAAAAUGAAGAAUGGUUUUAGUGGUUCGAGAUUUGAACUCAAUAUAUUUGAUGAGUUGUAUAGAUAAUGUAAUGAUCAAGAAUCUUAUCAGAAGUCAAUUUAUGGUGACCUAAGGAAUUUUGGGGAAAUAGUUAAGGGAAUGUAACCUAUAAUGCGAUUAAGCCAUAUGAGAUGGAUUAAUAGGAUUAAGAAGAUUGAAAUUUCCUAAAUGCAAGGUAAACAUGAAGUAUGUGGAAAUAAUUGAAGCCAGUAAUCUUCCCUAACGCUGAGGAUAUGUAUAGGAAUGAGUAUGGCAUGUUAAUGAUGUUGUAAACUACAUAAUAGUGUAUGAGGAUAAUAUGAAUGAAUGAAAGUCGAGAAGUUUGAUAUGGAAUGAAGUAAUAAGAUACUGAUUGGUAUACCUAAAUAAGCAUAAAAUGCGAUCGAAAUUGGUAUGAUUGAGACGGAGUUAUGGUUCAAGUUUAAUGAUAGUAAUAGAAGCAUGCUUGGUGUCUCGAUAUAAAAGAUCAUAAUUGUGAAGGUUACUAUUGAUCUGAUUUUAAAGGAUAAUAAUAGACAUAAGUGAAGUACUCGAGUUGAAUUGGAGGUAAAUUAGGUGAACAAAUCGAAAUUCCCUAUAAAAGGGAGGACAUAAGAAGUCGAGCAUUAGAUGAGAAAACAAUACCCCCACAUUUUCUCUGAGUUCAGUAAAUGAAAUUUUGAGUUCAAAAUUUUAUCUUAAGGGGGGGGGGGGGUAGUGCUGUCAAGCCCAACUCUACAAUAUGUUUAUUAUGCCAUUCCUACAUAAGAAUGCAUGUUUGCUUACUUGGGUACCUCAUAAAUCGUUAAAGGACGAUAAUGUACCAAAUGUUUAUUAAAUUUUAUGUUACUUGACUUGAGUUUGAUGAUUUGGAGUAUUGGGAGAGAAAUGGAGUUAUUUGGAGUUAAAUUGGACGUAUUAGCCAAUUAAUCGGGUGAUAGAUAGAAUUAGGCCAAUACCAUUUUAUUUAGGUACAUAAUUGAAUUUACAUUGAACACUGUAUUUAGAUAGUUACCCGAGUAUUUUACAUCCCAUUUCAUGCAUUAGUUUAGAGUCUGAAUUGGUUUUACAACGGUUUAGCACAAAUGUAGCAAAUUGCUUAUUGUGCAUUAUGUCUAGGUGGUGAGCAUUCUGGCAAGAGUAAAGAGGUAGUAUCCGAGGAUCAAGAAUCAGAGUAUCUCGAAUUCGAUUCCCAUUACAAUGAGUAACCUUAUUAUCGUCUUAAUUAUCUAAAGUAUGUUUUUAUCCAAUUUUGUAAUUUUAUGGAAAAUGUGUUCAAAUGAAAUGAUUUUAUAAACUGUUUUGAAAUUUAAUGAUGACUUGAAAAUGGAGUAAUUGGAGACUACUUGUUGUAUUGUAAAUUAUGUUUUGAAUUGAAUGGCUUAUGAUAAUGUGGGCAUGAAUGGCUGAAUGGGUAUUUGUGUUGAAAAUGUAUAAACUGUUGUUUGCCUUGAUAGGCUGGAUAAUGAUAAAAUGACCAUGUCAUAUUGUUGAAUUUUUAUUGAAUUGGUGGGUUAUGGAUUGGUCAUUACAGUGGCAAGUUCUGUGGACCAGCCUAUUAAAGGGGCACGGAAUCCGAGUAUAUUCUUACCUCGGCCGGAGAGGAGCGUAGGGUAACUCUUGAGGUAAAACUUUAGAGUUCACUUCACGCUGAACCACCACGUGAGGGUGAACUCAGCCAACACCAAGGAACGGCUAUGUUUUCAAAAUAAAAAACAUGAUUUAUGCGUACAUGACUUUUUAACAGCCUUGA
rnacentral:lncRNA from 1 species